UUCUCAAUCUAUCAUAGUACUUGUUCUAUACUCUAUAGCACUAAAAAAAAAAUACUUAUUCAUUAUGUCAGAAUCAUACAUAAAACUUUAUACCCCUUUCGCCCUUUCGUUAUUUUUAAUUAGAUGGUUACAGUUACUACAUACUCACAUAGAAGUAUAUAUUAAGGUAAGGUGAGGAGAGGUAGAGUUGUGUGGGGGAAACAUGAGGAAUAGUGAAGCAGAGAGGCGAGGCCAUUUAUGACAUUUUAUAGGAUCGGAGCUAAAAUUUUGCCACCAAGUAACUUUUUAGGGUAAAUAUAGCAUUAUAUGUAAAACAUAUAUUAUUUUCGACAGUUAGAGCUUACAAACACUUAAGUCAAGAUUAUCCUAAAUUGGUCAAGAAAGAGGUAUGCAACCAUUACAUAUGUAGCCAAAAAAAACGCUAAUAAUGUUAAAAUAAGUAAAGGAACUUUUAAAAUGAAUUAUUUCGUCCCAUAUCACUCCUUACUGUUAUCAAGGAUUCAAGGUACAUACCUUUAGAUUAUAAGUAUCAACUGUUAUUGUAUAGGAUAGGUAAAUGUGAUGCGAGGUAGUAGAAAGAUUAUUUUAUUUGGAGCAAGGAGAGUGUCGAGUCAAAUUUUUCAUAGAAGGAUUAAACUAACAAUGGAUCAUAUUAAAAAUUAAAGUAAAAAACUUAUAUGGACUUGGUUUACACCUAAAUUAGUAUGGAUAUAUUGCUAAUUCAUGUUGUUUAUGAAAAAACAAUGGUCACUAUAUAAAGAAAUAGAUAUAAAUUAUGAGUAGAUAUAGAUUUUGACUAUGUAAAAAAAUAAAUUACUAUGUUAAAAAGUGAAAGUAUUAUUAUGAUAUUUAAUGUGAGAUGGACUGACUGUAUUAGAAAAAACAAUCGCUAUGGUAGAUAAUAACUGUAUAGUGUAACUUAAGAUUUUAAAAGAUUACUAUAUGUAAAAAAAAGGUCACUAUCUCUAUUAUAUAAGCUAAGGGGGGAACAAUGGUGUCCCCUUUUGAAUUUAGAUAUUCACCCCUCCAAAAUUUAAAACCAUUACACACAUAAACUUACUAAAAAAAAUUCAACCAAAUCUCUAUUAAACCCAACAAACUCAUACAGUUGUAAAUCACAUAAACUUGCCAAUAAAAAGAUGCAAUCAAAUUAAAUUUAGAUCCAAUCAACUAAAAAAUUUCGUAAUCAAGAACUUAACAAAAAUUAAUACCACGGACAAUAAAAAAAAUGACAUUCUCAUUAUAAAGACAACUCAUAUACAAAAUUAAUCACAAAUACAAAGUUAAAAAAAAAUUCAAUUUUUUCAUUACUUGGAUAUACAAUUUUAUCACUGAUAGUUACUUUAGAAAUAUUUUUAGAUACUAUUUAUAAGUAAUUAAAUACUUCUUACUCACCAAAUGAAGGUGAACGUAGAUACGUACUUUAAUAAUUUUAUUUAUUUCUUUUAAUACCGAGUAAUAGUUAUGCCUAAAAUGUCACCGCACGCAUAGCGUGCAGAAAAAGCUAGUGUUAAAUUAGUGGCUUUGGUCCACAAUACUAUUAUUGUGAAACAUGUACACGCAAGACUAACUAAAAAAUAAAAGUUUAAAGAGUAAUAUAAGAUAAAUAAAAAUAGAAAGUGUAAAAAAUAUUGUGGGAUGGAGGGAUUAGAAAAGAAAAUGUAAAAAGAUGUUUAGUACGAAAUAGUAAACUUUCCUCGAAAUUAUAGUAAACUUUCUUAACCUGGUUCCAGCAAGAAAUUUCAAAAUGAAUUAAUAAUAUUUAAAUAAAAAUGUAUAGUAAAUGUAAAAUGGGCCAUCCAUUUGCUGAUGUUUCUCACCAUCUUGGUUUCAAACCUGCAUCUUCUACAUGAGUUGAAUUGCUGCAAACUAGUAAGCCAAUCUGAGUUUUAAUAAAUAUGGCAGCUAUUCUUCCAUACAUAAUGGGCGUGUUCGGCAACAAUAGUUGUGGUGGUAGCUUUUAGCUGUGAGAGUAGAUGUUAGUUGUACUGGUAGCUGUUAGUGGUUGGUGUGUGGCUGUUAACUGUUAUUAGAUGUCCAAGUAGCGGUAUAAAAGAAUAUGUCAAAGUAGUUGUUUAAGAAUAACUAGUUAAAAACUCAAAUAAAACUUUAACAUAUAUAUAAUUUAUACACCACUAAAACCUACCCCAAAAGUUAUAAUUGUAGCUUUUGACAAACACUACUAAAGACUACUUUUUGCUACUAAAAGCUACUUACACGCACCACUACCUUGCCGAACAUUCUUAUUUUCUCUAAUUAGUGUUUUGACCGAGUCAAGACACUAAAAGUUACAUAAAAAGCUUGUGUCGAACACGCCGAAUGUCUUGUAAAAUUUGAGCCCCUUGUGUUUAUGGCCCUGGGCGGGUGGCCCCACUUGCCCCGGCCCAAGGAUGGCCCUGUAGAGAUGUAAUCCAAUUACCUGUUUCACAAAUCACAAGUCAAAUUUUGGUCUUUUUUGUUUUCAAGUUCCUAUAAUCUUUCCCUCUUUCUUCGUUCCACUCAACACGUUGCCAUUACUAAUUAGAGCGCAUGAUAUUUUUUUAUCUGUUAAAUUGAUUAUAUAUGUAUGCAGACCAAUAUAAGA